rnacentral:rRNA from 1 species
UACGAAGGGGGCUAGCGUUGCUCGGAAUGACUGGGCGUAAAGGGCGCGUAGGCGGUUCAUACAGUCAGAUGUGAAAUUCCCGGGCUUAACCUGGGGGCUGCAUUUGAUACGUAUGGGCUUGAGUGAGGAAGAGGGUUGUGGAAUUCCCAGUGUAGAGGUGAAAUUCGUAGAUAUUGGGAAGAACACCGGUGGCGAAGGCGGCAACCUGGUCCUUUACUGACGCUGAGGCGCGAAAGCUAGGGGAGCAAACAGG